rnacentral:lncRNA from 1 species
AGCUGACGUCUAUAGUUGUAACAUACCAGAUUUUGGUAUAAAAAUAAAAAUAAAUAAAAAUAGUGUGAGAAGCUAUUUUUAUUGGAUUUGUAGAAGUAAAAUAUGAGUCAGAAGUGACUUAUGCUGAAAUCGGAAUGAAAACAGAAGAUCUAGAAUUUUCUGUUGGAAACGGGACAGAUAAAUUAGCAGAAAAUGCACAGUCUCAGAAAAUUAUGAAAAUUGGCAGAGAUGUCAGAAAUAUUUUCAUGAGGCUAGAUUUAAGGUUUCAUAUUUUUCUGACACCCGUAGAGUGAGAAAUAAAAUCCGAAAGCUAUCUGAUAAAGAUUGCAGUUCGGUACAGUUUUCAGUGACCAAACGGGGUCGAAACUGAACCAGUGAUCGUCAGCUUGUUAAGUUAAGUAAAACCGAACAUGACUGUCAAGUUUGAGCUCAAACGGACACUCAGGGAGCUCCGUCGAAAGUUAUCAGAUUUCAAGCUGCCCGGAAGUGAAUAGUGUCGGGUGUAUUAUAAAGAAGCUGAAGCUUCUUUCUUCCUCUCCUUCAGCCCGAGCACCCACACACGCACGCAUGGUGCUAGUGAGAGAAACCUUCAUUCCUCUCUCUAGAUUUCUCUCUUAUCUCUCCAAAUCUCUCUCUAAUAAUUUGAGGGUUGGUGGAAAGCGAGCUUGCGAACGCAUUGGAGGCGUCGGUUCGGGCUUUCGUGCGGCCGUUGCAACGGUGUGUUUUCGUAGCGGCAUUCACAUUGAGGUAAGCUUUUAGGAUUUGGCUUAAUCCUUAGUUCUAAGUGUUCUAAUAGCCUCUAAUGAGCAUUCUAAACAUGUUUGCUCCAUUUAAUUUAGAUUAUUUGGAGAUUAAUUCAUGUUAGGCUUAGAAAAUGGGGUUUUGUAAAAUAUGAGCGUUUGAUCUCAUUUGACCCUCUGUAAACCAAAUUGCUAGGUAAACGAAUGCGUUGGCGAAGACGGUUCGGCAAUCCGACGAGCCGUUACAAAGUUAUUAAAGAAAUGGACGUUUAGGCUUCGGGUCCGCCGGGAGGGCCGAGGCGACGUCGUAAAAUCAUGGAAAUGGAUUUGAGGCAUCGUGGCACAUAACCGAAGACCUAUAAUUUUCGGGGCUACGAAGCGGAGCACAGUUGAGGCGCAGUUGCAGUAUCGGGCCGUGCCGGAUACGGGUGCCGCGGGAGGCCGAUUGCAAGUGUCGACAAGCAAUCGGAACGCAAAUUAAGGUGGGUUGGUUUACCGAAGCGACUAGGUCGCCUUUAUGUCUAAGAAAAUAUGAUUUCUUAUGAUGCAUAUAGAAAUGAAUGAUAAUGAAUGCAAGCUGAUAAAUGCAUGUUGAUAAAUGCUAGAGAGCAUGCGAAAUAAAGUAUAAAUGCUAAGUUGAUGCAUGUAAAUGAUAUAGAGAUUAUAAAAUGCAUGUUGGUAAAUAAUAUAAAUGAUGCAUGUUAACGAUAGUGCUUAGAGCAAGAUGCUAAGUAGAAAGCAUGAUGUUGAUAACAUGAUACAAACGCCAAGUAGAAUGCAUGAGAUAAGAAUGCUAGAGUAUAAUGAUAAGCAUGAUAUGGAAAUAGUAAAUACAAGUACAUGUUAAGAAUGCUAAGUAAUGCAUAGUGACAUAGUGUAAAUCAUGCUAAGUGACAAGCAUAAAGUAUAUAAUACGUGGUGGCCGUGUUGCAUGCAUAGAAAGGUUAAUGUAAGAAUGCUAAAGAUAAUGUAUGAAUGCAUGUUGCAUGUUAAAGAAUGCCCAGUAAAGGACUUGUGUAUAUGGACUUAAGUGCACCUAUAGAUCGAGUAGCAUUGAAUCUAGUGUCGAGGACAUAGGUUAAACAGAUGUGAUUUGAACCUAAUGUAAAGAACAUAGGUUAAAUAAGAAUGAUGUUAAACCUAAUGUAGAGAACACAGGUCGUGAAAUGAAAGGUGCUUAACCUAGAGUCAAGUGAACCUAGGUUGGAAAGAAUGAUGAUCCUAGUGUAAUAAACCUAGGUUAAGAAUGUGAAAGCAAUAAACCUAAAGUAUUAACUUAGGUUGUGUAAUGGACAAAGAACCUAGAGUCAAGUAGACCUAGGAUGUAAAGGACAAUGGACCUAAGUAGGUCGAUACCAUAGGGUUGUGACUAACCCUCGAGUUACGUGAAAUGGAUUCCGGAAUCCCAAAGCUUGUUGAUAUACCUAGAGUGGUAUCGGGUGUGUGCGACGAUUUCGCCGCCCAAGGGCUAAAGAACCAUUGUCGUGGCGUGUGCGACGAUUUCGCCGCCGGAUGGUUAGCCAGUUUGUGGAUCCUACCACCUGUUGACUGAACCACUGUCGUGGCGUUUGUGCGACGAUUUCGCCGCCGGGUGGCUAAGUCAUGGACCUAGGCCGUUGUUGGGUGAGGUGCGAUUCGUUCGCCGCCAGACGGCUAGGACAGGAGUACGGUGAGCUGUUGCCAGCUGAGGUGCAUGUGAGAGUUCCUUCACCUCGAGCUAGACAGUGCGCGGACUAUCCGCGAUUGAUUGACUCAAGACCGAGUCGGGUGGCAUAGAGAACUAAGGUAAGGGAAACCUUAGGAAAGAAUGGCCAGUGGAAAAGUGCAACAAAGUGUAGAGAAUAAAGAAUAAGUAAAGAAUAAAGAUCGGCUAAGGAAUAAGAAUAGCUGAUAAAGUAAAGAAAGGUUACAAGUAAAGAAUAGCUAAGAGCUAAAAGUAAACAUUAAACGACAAGAGUAAAGAAUGAUUAAGAAUAUAAUUAGCGUUAAAGUAACCUACUUGCAUGAUUACGGGUAUUGCAUAUUGCAUUUCGUGAGGCAUGGCAUGUAUUUCAAUUGAAUAUAUAUAUCUGUUGUAUAUUGUUGAACUAACAUGUUGCAGUGCCUUGUUAGACCUGUUGGUUGAGCUGGUUCUCUUGGGUGGCUAAACCCACUGAGGACUAUGGACAAUAGUCUCACUCCCGUGUUGCUGUUUUGGGGGUACAGGUACACACGUGUGCGGCGCGGCGGCGCAAGGCGAGGGCGUAGUUCUGCAGAUAGCGCCCUACCCCAGAGACCAGAGCUAGCAGUACCCCGUCUACAUAGCUUAGGGGUAAAGAAAAUGAAAAGAACACAAUGUGUCAAUUUGUAAUAAAUAAGUAUUGUAAUAACUUAGAUUGUAUUUGGAGGAAUCAAAUGAGAACUAUGAUGUAGAAAUGUAUGAAUGUGAAUGUAUGUAAUAACAUAGGAUGUGUUUAUGUUGUAUGAUACCUUCCAC